rnacentral:rRNA from 1 species
CCUCGUGGUCCGAGUUGUAAUUUGUAGAGGAUGCUUUUGGUGCGGUGCCUUCCGAGUUCCCUGGAACGGGACGCCAGAGAGGGUGAGAGCCCCGUACGGUUGGACACCUACCCUAUAUGUAGCUCCUUCGACGAGUCGAGUAGUUUGGGAAUGCUGCUCUAAAUGGGAGGUAAAUUUCUUCUAAAGCUAAAUACCGGCCAGAGACCGAUAGCGCACAAGUAGAGUGAUCGAAAGAUGAAAAGCACUUUGAAAAGAGGGUUAAAUAGCACGUGAAAUUGUUGAAAGGGAAGCGUUUGCGACCAGACCUUUUCUAGGCGGAUCAUCCGGUGUUCUCACCGGUGCACUUCGCCUGGUUUAGGCCAGCAUCGGUUUUCGUAAGAGGAUAAAGGCUCGGGGAACGUAUCUCUCUCGGGAGUGUUAUAGCCCCUUGUGUAAUACUCUUAUGGGGACCGAGGACCGCGCUUCGGCAAGGAUGCUGGCGUAAUGGUCGUCAACGACCCGUCUUGAAACACGGACCAAGGAGUCGAACAUUUGUGCGAGUGUUUGGGUAUUAAACCCUCACGCGUAAUGAAAGUGAACGGAGGUGAGAGCCCUUCGGGGUGCAUCAUCGACCGAUCCUGAUGUCUUCGGAUGGAUUUGAGUAAGAGCAUAACUGUUCGGACCCGAAAGAUGGUGAACUAUGCGUGGAUAGGGUGAAGCCAGAGGAAACUCUGGUGGAGGCUCGCAGCGGUUCUGACGUGCAAAUCGAUCGUCAAAUCUGCGCAUGGGGGCGAAAGUAUGUAUAAUCCCUUCCUUCUAUACAGGAAGCAGUAAAGGCUAACAAUAAUCUCUUUUAGGACUUAUCGAACCAUCUAGUAGCUGGUUACCGCCGAAGUUUCCCUCAGGAUAGCAGUGUUGUUUUCAGUUUUAUGAGGUAAAGCGAAUGAUUAGGGACUCGGGGGCGCUUUAUUGCCUUCAUCCAUUCUCAAACUUUAAAUAUGUAAGAAGCCCUUGUUGCUUAAUUGAACGUGGGCAUUCGAAUGUAUCAACACUAGUGGGCCAUUUUUGGUAAGCAGAACUGGCGAUGCGGGAUGAACCGAACGUGGAGUUAAGGUGCCAGAGUGGACGCUCAUCAGACACCACAAAAGGUGUUAGUACAUCUAGACAGUUGGACGGUGGCCAUGGAAGUCGGAAUCCGCUAAGGACUGUGUAACAACUCACCAACCGAAUGUACUAGCCCUGAAAAUGGAUGGCGCUCAAGCGUCUCACCCAUACUUCACCCUUAGGGUAGAAACGAUGCCCUAAGGAGUAGGCG